rnacentral:rRNA from 1 species
AGGACGAACGCUGGCGGCGUGCCUAACACAUGCAAGUCGAACGAGGUCCAACCGGUAGCAAUACCGGUGAAGACCGAGUGGCGAACGGGUGAGUAACACGUGAGCAACCUGCCUCGAAGACUGGGAUAAACCCCGGGAAACCGGAGCUAAUACCGGAUACCCCCACCGGGUCGCAUGGCCUGGUGAGGAAAUGGAUUCCGCUUUGAGAGGGGCUCGCGGCCUAUCAGCUUGAUGGUGGGGUAAUGGCCUACCAUGGCACCGACGGGUAGCUGGUCUGAGAGGACGAUCAGCCACACUGGGACUGAGACACGGCCCAGACUCCUACGGGAGGCAGCAGUGGGGAAUCUUGCGCAAUGGGCGAAAGCCUGACGCAGCAACGCCGCGUGUGGGACGAAGGCCUUCUGGGUUGUAAACCACUUUCAGCAGGGACGAUUGUGACGGUACCUGCAGAAGACGCCCGGCCAACUACGUGCCAGCAGCCGC